AUGCUCACUUCAGCAGCACAUGUACUAAAAUUGGAACGAUACAGAGAAGAUUAGCAUGACCCUCGCGUAAGGAUGAUGUGCAAAUUCAUGAAGUGUUCCAUGUUUAA